rnacentral:tRNA from 1 species
NAUAUAGUGGUGAGUAUCCCCGCCUGUC